GAUGAAGAACGUAGCGAAAUGCGAUAAGUAAUGUGAAUUGCAGAAUUCAGUGAAUCAUCGAAUCUUUGAACGCACAUUGUGCCCCCUGGUAUUCCGGGGGGCAUGCCUGUUCGAGCGUCAUUUCACCACUCAAGCCUCGCUUGGUAUUGGGCAACGCGGUCCGCCGCGUGCCUCAAAUCGACCGGCUGGGUCUUCUGUCCCCUAAGCGUUGUGGAAACUAUUCGCUAAAGGGUGUUCGGGAGGCUACGCCGUAAAACAACCCCAUUUCUAAGGUUGACCUCGGAUCAGGUAGGGAUACCCGCUGAACUUAAGCAUAUCAAUAAGCGGAGGA
rnacentral:misc_RNA from 1 species